rnacentral:rRNA from 1 species
GACGAACGCUGGCGGCGUGCUUAACACAUGCAAGUCGAACGGAAAGGCCUGCUUUCCCUUGUGGAUUGCGGGUACUCGAGUGGCGAACGGGUGUGUAACACGUGAGUGAUCUGCCCCCAACUUGGGUAUAAGCCUGGGAAACUGGGUCUAAUUCCCGAUAGGACUGCAGGGUGGUGCCUGUGGUGGAAAACGAUUUUCUAGUGGUUGGGGAUGAGCUCGCGGCCUAUCAGCUUGUUGGUGGGGUAAUGGCCUACCAAGGCGGCGACGGGUAGCCGGCCUGAGAGGGUGGACGGCCACAUUGGGACUGAGAUACGGCCCAGACUCCUACGGGAGGCAGCAGUGGGGAAUAUUGCACAAUGGGCGGAAGCCUGAUGCAGCGACGCCGCGUGGGGGAUGACGGCCUUCGGGUUGUAAACUCCUUUCGACCGCGAGGAAGCCACCUGGUUGGAAGGGUGGUGACGGUAGUGGUAGAAGAAGCACCGGCUAACUACGUG